AUUUUAAAAAAAGUUUUGCAUAGUAGCCACUGAGGUUUAUCUGAGGCAUGAUUAUUACUACUUGAAAACUUUUCCCAAUACCCCUCUGUGACAACUUGCGAUAUAGUCAACAUUGGCGAUUUUUGACAGUCUCUAUGGAGA
ensembl:snRNA U4 U4 spliceosomal RNA